AAGUCGUAACAAGGUUUCCGUAGGUGAACCUGCGGAAGGAUCAUUAACACGUUCCACGUAUCCACCCGAGAACUCGUUCUUUAUAUGAGGAUUAAGCUUCAGCCAUGGUCCUGUAAACUCUGUGCAUACCGCAAAAUAUUUCGAUAAGGAAACAGGCUGUCGAAGCCUGGCGGCUGCCAGUAGAAAUGUCUUUCAAGCUCUCAGAGCUUCAAAGGAGGCACUGAAGAUCUGGUCCUGUUUCUCUUCCUUAUCGAAUUUUUCACAAUUAUUUACCCCUUUCGAAACGUACUAAUUUCAAUUUCUUUCUUGAAGAAAUUAGACAGCUGCACUUGCUGCUGCUGUUCUAAGAACUCUAAGAAAAACCUUAAGAACAACUCUUAACAACGGAUAUCUUGGCUCUC
rnacentral:misc_RNA from 1 species